rnacentral:lncRNA from 1 species
ACACGACCAUCCUUUGGGAGACUGCUUGCAUCUCUUUGGCCCUCUGAAUAGCUUGAGCCCUCCCCAGCUGCUAGCCGGAAGCUGCAAAUAGGGUGACGUAAGAGUUUGAAUUCCCAGUUAACUGCCCCACAGCCAAGCAGCUCCCCUGGGUUCCCACUCAGUCGGGCGAUAGCGGAGCUGCCUUCGCCCAUGGAAAGGAGUCUGAUCUCCCUACGACACCCACCCCUCUGCCCCAGCUGGCAGAGCAGCCCUGCAAAAGGGAGGGUUCUUGGAGCCCAUCUUCGGGGCAGCAGCUGUCCAGUGGGUGAUGACCCCGCGGACCAUCUCCAUUGCUAGGCUCUGUAAGAACUACAUUUCCCAUCACGCCUCACACUGAUUGGCCUAGUUCUGCCCCGCCGUAUGACACUAGCGAGAGCUUCUUCCAGGAGCUGAAUCCGCUUGCGUCGGCCCAGACUGCAGACGGAGCUAAACGUGCUUCCUGGCGCUCUAAGCAGAGGAGGACGCCCCUCGCCCAGCUGCCUGUCUCAAAGGGUCUGUCCCCUUUUCUUCGGGUCCCGGAGCUCCACCACGGGCAGGGCUCCCAGGGAGAUGCUGCCUGAGAACUAUCGCUCGAGCCCCGGCGGUGGGUUUNGUUACACACUGUCCAGAUACUGUUCCCAAUUUCCCGCCACUCUUCGGUGGACAUCCAGGGAAACCUUUGCGUCCUGCUUCAGAGGCUCUGUAAACUGCCACAGGAUUUCAGUUUGGCAUUCACCUUUACCGCCCGGCCCGCCUGGGUGGAGUUUUUAGGGUCCUUCUCUUCCUGCAUUUUUUUUCUCUUUCAACUGGCAAAUUUGCUCGUGCAGGUUGGUUUGUUUUUGUUUUAAUGCAGCAUUGAGGAAAUCCAGCCAGUUCUCUGUUUCAGGACCUGGUUGGCUUUCCCCUCUUUGUUGGGUAACGUCAGAGUUUUCCGUGUGUCUCGUAUCCUACGUUACAAGCGCCUGGCGCGUUCUUCAGAAGUCAGAUCAGUUUGAGGUAUGGAGCGGGUUGUAUUUGAAUUCAUGUCUCGAUGAUGAGGUGUGUGGAAGGGGAAUUAUUGGGUGGGAGCUCUGUCCAACCCAGACCCUUAUGCUCAGGAAUUAGAAAAAGCUGCUAAAUCCAACCUGGUAACUGCAUCUGUCUAGCUGGACUUUUUUUAAAAACUGAUUCCCCCUCCUCCACUGGGCCUUUGCUUCCAGAGAUGGCUUCCGUCUCCUUUCCACUGGAGGAACCGGGCGCUCGGAAAUCAGACUAGACUUGCAAUGGUGUCUUUGCUGGUCCAUAAAAGUUGCUGGUUGUGUCUUGUGUGCGCUGUUUCAUUGUGUCGACUGCACUAAUAAACUGCCUUUUCUUGACUCUCCA